AGGGAUGUAGUUAAGUAUAACAUUUGAUUUGCAUUCAAAAAGUAUUGUUUCCAAUCUUCCUUA
rnacentral:tRNA from 1 species